rnacentral:rRNA from 1 species
UACGUAGGGUGCAGGCGUUAAUCGGAAUUACUGGGCGUAAAGCGUGCGCAGGCGGUUUUCUAAGUCAGAUGUGAAAUCCCCGGGCUUAACCUGGGAACUGCGUUUGAAACUGGGAGGCUAGAGUGCGGCAGAGGGGGGUGGAAUUCCACGUGUAGCAGUGAAAUGCGUAGAUAUGUGGAGGAACACCGAUGGCGAAGUAAUCCCCCGGGGCCUGCACUGACGGUCAUGCACGAAAGCGUGGGGAGCAAACAGG